ACUGACAGUUAGCUUUCUGCAACUCUCCCAUGAUCACCUACUCAAGCUAAGCAGGUCUGCGCCCGGUCAGUACCUGGAUGGGAGGCAACAUGGGAAAGCUAGGUUGCUUCCAUAA
rnacentral:rRNA from 1 species